rnacentral:rRNA from 1 species
CCUACGGGGGACAGCAGUGGGGAAUAUUGCACAAUGGGGGAAACCCUGAUGCAGCGAUGCCGCGUGAGUGAAGAAGUAAUUCGGUACGUAAAGCUCUAUCAGCAGGGAAGAAAAUGACGGUACCUGACUAAGAAGCCCCGGCGAACGACGUGCCAGCAGCCGCGGUAAUACGUAGGGGGCAAGCGUUAUCCGGAUUUACUGGGUGUAAAGGGAGCGUAGACGGCAGGGCAAGUCUGACGUGAAAUCCGGUGGCUCAACCCCGGAACUGCUUUGGAAACUGUGCGGCUGGAGUGCAGGAGAGGUAAGUGGAAUUCCUAGUGUAGCGGUGAAAUGCGUAGAUAUUAGGAGGAACACCAGUGGCGAAGGCGGCUUACUGGACUGUAACUGACGUUGAGGCUCGAAAGCGUGGGGAGCAAACAGGAUUAGAUACCCUUGUAGUC